GAGUUUGAUCGUGGCUCAGGAUAAACGCUGGCGGCAUGCCUAACACAUGCAAGUCGAACGGAGCGCCUUGGAAGGAGACUUCGGUCAACGGAAGAGGAGGCUUAGUGGCGGACGGGUGAGUAACGCGUGAGGAACCUGCCUCAGAGAGGGGGAUAACACACCGAAAGGUGUGCUAAUACCGCAUAACAUAUGAGAGGGGCAUCCCUUUUAUAUCAAAGAUUUAUUGCUCUGAGAUGGCCUCGCGUCCAAUUAGCUAGUUGGUGAGGUAACGGCCCACCAAGGCGACGAUUGGUAGCCGGACUGAGAGGUUGAACGGCCACAUUGGGACUGAGACACGGCCCAGACUCCUACGAGAGGCAGCAGUGGGGAAUAUUGCACAAUGGGGGGAACCCUGAUGCAGCAAUGCCGCGUGAAGGAUGAAGGUUUUCGGAUUGUAAACUUCUUUUGUACGGACGAAGAAAGUGACGGUACCGUAAGAAUAAGCCACGGCUAACUACGUGCCAGCCGCCGCCGUAAG
rnacentral:rRNA from 1 species